UGUCGUAACAAGGUUUCCGUAGGUGAACCUGCGGAAGGAUCAUUACCACACCGAUCCAAGAUCUUUCUAUUUGUGACUGUUUCCGGCGACCCUGCGUCAACGGUGCACAUUGCGUGCAGCGGUGGGGUUGCUGGGAGAAAGUAUUGUAAUUUAUAUUUUCUACAUGUAAUAAUGUGUUAACCGGUAUUGAACCAAAGAUCUGAAGCACAAGGGCGUGUUUGGCCUGCCUCGCUGUCUCGACGGCGCAGGGCGGGCCCACCCCGAAAAAACAAAAUCCAGUACAACUUUCAGCGGUGGAUGUCUAGGUUCCCACAACGAUGAAGAACGCAGCGAAAUGCGAUACGUAAUGCGAAUCGCAAGACCUCGUGAAUCAUUAAAAUUUUGAACGCACAUUGCGCUUUCGGGAUUUUCCCGGUAGCAUGCUUAUCUGAGUGUCUGUGAACCCCACUCAGCGCUGGUUGAUUUCGGUCUUCCGGCAGCUGGACUAUGGCGGUGACCCGAACGAUCCCUUGUUGGUCGAUUUGGGGCUCUGCGUAAAUAUGGUGUGCCACGUAGUGGUCGAAGCGUCACCAUUGGUCAGUUUGUGCUGGCCUGUGAGCGGUUCGAGCCCUCGUCAAUCUCCGGUAGCAGUAUGUUACAAUGCAGCUAGGGAGUGAAGUCGACGGGCUGAACGUAGCUGUGCAGGAAGCGCCGGACCUUUCGGUUGGUUCGCAUGCCCGUUGUGUAACGAGCAGUGUCCAAUUCCGGAUCUCAGAUUAAGCAAGAGGACCCGCCGAAUUUAAGCAUAUAAUUAAGCGGAGGAAAAGAAACUAACUAGGAUUCCCUCAGUAAGGGCGACUGAAGCGGGAAGUGCUCAGGAUGUGAAUCUGCGCUUUGCGCCGAAUUGUGGUCUGUAGACGGUUGCGUUACUAGCCGGGCCAAGUCCCUUGGAAAAGGGCAGCUGAGAGGGUGAGACUCCCGUCCGCCUGGCAAGGUGAGCUUCCUGUCAACGAGUCGAGUUGUUUGGGAUUGCAGCUCAAAGUGGGUGGUAAAUUCCAUCUAAAGCUAAAUAUUGGUGGGAGACCGAUAGCGUACAAGUACCGUGAGGGAAAGAUGCAAAGAACUUUGAAAAGAGAGUUAAAGAGUACCUGAAAUUGCUGAAAGGGAAGCGAAGGAAACCAGUGUUUGCUUAGUCAUAUUUCCCUGGCCGCUUGCGGCUUGGGCGCUGUGUCUGGCUUGUGUUGUGUUUGGUUGUGUCCUUUGGAAGAGCGCAGAGGGAGUUGACCUCUGUUGCUGGCACUGGGCGUGACUGAGCAGGACGAAAUGGUUUUCUUUACCCCGUCUUGAAACACGGACCAAGGAGUCUAACAUAUGUGCGAGUAUAGGGGUGGCAAACCCCCAUGCGCAAUGAAAGUGACAGUGGUUGGAAUUUAGCACAAUCCGCCGGCCUCAAUCCUUCGGGAGAACGGUCUGAGUGUGAGCAUACAUGUUGGGACCCGAAAGAUGGUGAACUAUGCGUGA
rnacentral:rRNA from 1 species